AGAACGCAGGGAGCGCGAGCUCUUCUUGCUUGAUUGAGCGGUUCCGCGAGCGCUAAGUCAACCAAUCCUCGACUGGGGCGGCGUCGCGAUUGGAGAAGGCUGAGUGGGGAGGGGGCGAGGGAAAGAGAGCCCCGAGGCUCUGAUUGGCUGAGCAAUCCAGGCAUGGAGGAUGGCCAAGGGCGUUCCCUCAGUCUGUUCUAGGGUGUCAGUCAACACAGUUCACCUUCCUGCUCUCCCCUUUGCAUAGACAUCAAAACAUUAGCUCAACUGUUGGUGCUGGUAGCCCUUAACUGUCACUCCUCUGAGAAAAUUCUUUCAGCCUAACUCUAAGGCAUAAAAAGGUAAAAGUUUCUCCUGACGUUAAGUCCAGUCAUAUCUGACUCUGGGGGUUGGUGCUCAUCUCCAUUUCUAAGCCAAAGAGCCGGCAUUGUCCGUAGACAUCUCCAAGGUCAUGUGACCGGCAUGACUGCAUGGAGCGCCGUUACCUUCCCGCCGGAGCGGUACCUAUUGAUCUACUCACAUUGCCAUGUUUUCGAACUGCUAGGUUGGCAGAAGCUGGAGCUAACAGCGGGCGCUCACUCUGCUCCCGGGAUUUGAACCUGGGACCUUUCGGUUUGGUAGUUCAGCAGCUCAGUGCUUUAACACACUUCGUCAUCGGGACUCCUAAGGCAUGUAAGCCCCCUAUUUUAAGAGGGUCAGCACACUGAGUCCUCAAAAGGAUUGGAAGAGACCAGGCCCAUAGCCAGAAAAAUCCCCCCCCCCCCCCCGGAAAUGACUUUUCAGGCCAGUGUCUCCUGACCUGGCAUGAGAUCUCAACAAGAUCCUGAAAUUAUCAUCAUUGUACAAAGAUUCUUCACAGGUGACUCAUACUUAAUCAAGAUCUAAACUAUGAAGCAGACAUCUUCCAGAAGAAAUACACAGACUGCUCCUAAUACUGCCUGUAAAAACAUAUCCAUUAAAUUAUCUGAGCAUCAAAAGGAAACAAGCCAAAUUAAUUUUUUCCAACUAUUCCCACUAGAAGUCAACUUAAAGAUUUUUAGUGAACUUGACAUCCAGAGUUUAUGCAGUGCUUCAAUGACAUGUAGGAGCUGGAACCAGAUCAUUGAUAACUGUGACAAUUUAUGGAAACAUCAUUGCUUAAAUGUCAGGACUAUCUGUCAGAGAGAGAUCGACGGUGAUAGAGGAAACGGGUAUUCAUGGAAGGUCACACUGCUAAGAAACUAUUGGAAAAGCAAAGUAAAGUAUGACUGGCUGACUGGGAAAUACAGCAAUAUUCAGUCCCGCAGUGGUUUGCCAGAAAAAAGCAUGUAUCCUAUGGAUGUUGAUACUUGGGGAGAAAUCCUAGAAGCUGAACUGGAAAGAAAGGUGGCUCAAAUAAGAGUCUUUCACCGAAGGAACUAGCAAUAAUUCACAUCUGUAAAAAUAUUGCCCUAUAUAUGUGCGUAUUUGGUUUUUUUAAUGUUAUAUGUGGCAGCUUGACACAUCUUUGUUUUGCACCUUCUGAAUUACCAAGAUUUUAUUGCCUUUUAAGAAGCUUGAAACGGUGUGUGUGCGUAUGUCAGUAUGCAUGUAUGAUUCUCUCAGGUAGCACUUUGCAAUUAAUGUUGAGUACUUUUUAAAGACUAAGUAUUAUUUUCUUUAUUUUUGAUAUGUUAUGGGAAGAAGUUUUAAGAAAAGCUUACAAUAGCAUAACCAGGAUGGUGUGUGGUGUGUGUGUGUGUGUUUUUCAAAUUGUGCUCCUCAAGGUGUUUUGAACUUCAGCUCCCAGAAAUCCCAGCCAGCCUACCAGCUGUUAGGAACUGUGGGAGCAGAGGUCCAAAACAUCUGGAGUAGCAAGAUUUGAGAAACACUGGUCUAAAGCAUUAAUAAUUAAUUCAUGAAAAAGAGUUUAACAUGGAAUUUGAAAUGAGAGAGAAAUAAAGAAUUCAUUGUUUCCCCCUAA